UUCAAUGUGAGCUCCAAGUGG
rnacentral:misc_RNA from 1 species